rnacentral:rRNA from 1 species
UACGGAGGAGGCAAGCGUUAUCCGGAAUUAUUGGGCGUAAAGCGUCCGUAGAUGGUUUUGUAAGUCUGCUGUCAAAGCACAGGGCUUAACCCUGUAAAGGCAGUGGAAACUACAAGACUAGAGUGCAGUAGGGGCGGAGGGAAUUCCCAGUGUAGCGGUGAAAUGCGUAGAGAUUGGGAAGAACAUCCGUGGCGAACGCGCUCUGCUGGACUGCAACUGACAUUGAGGGACGAAAGCUAGGGGAGCGAAUGGG